UACGUAGGGUGCAAGCGUUAAUCGGAAUUACUGGGCGUAAAGCGUGCGCAGGCGGUUAUGUAAGGACAGGUGUGAAAUCCCCGGGCUUAACCUGGGAACUGCAUUUGUGACUGCAUAGCUAGAGUACGGUAGAGGGGGGGAUGGAAUUCCGCGUGUAGCAGUGAAAUGCGUAGAUAUGCGGAGGAACACCGAUGGCGAAGGCAAUCCCCUGGACCUGUACUGACGCUCAUGCACGAAAGCGUGGGGAGCAAACAGG
rnacentral:rRNA from 1 species